CUGUUGAUUGCCUGCCCCUUCUCGCGGCAAAUCUCGCAUGACCUGCUCGCCUGGUGCUACCCCGACGCCACCGCGCCAUUGCCGACUGACAGCUUCCUGGAUUGGUGGCAUGCCUCUGUCCAUGCCGCUCAUGCCGCCCAUAGGAAGGGCAUCUCCUCGCUCAUCCUGCUCGCGGCAUGGUCUCUCUGGAAACACCGAAACGCCUGUGUCUUCGAUGGUUGCACCCCUUCCGUUACUCGGCUCAUGCAGUCCAUCAAGGAAGACGUGCACUCCUGGAAGUGUGCCGGUGCACAGGGCCUCUCUACGAUCGCGCCGUAG
rnacentral:rRNA from 1 species